CACCGCCGCUUCCUCCUUUGCUGAGACGACUAGGCGUACUGAUGAUGCCUUGAUCUUCCAAGUCCUCUCCACCAUCGUCGUGUUCUCCUCUGUUACUGUUUGAUAUCAACAUAUGAUUUUCAUCGCUGUAUUCUCCUCUUUCUCCUCCUCCCAUUUCUCUCUCUUUCUAUUUUUUUCUCUUCCUCUGGGCGUCACUAAAUUAUCAGAGCAUAGGAAUCGGGCUCUGCGAAUCUUGUUCCUUUUCCUAUUCUGUUUGCUAUUACCUUAUACUGAGAUCACAAGGACGCAGUGGAGAGGAGAAGGUGGUGGUUGUGGUGGUGGGCGUGGAGGAGUAAGAGGGGCCGGGCUUGUUUGGUUCUAUGGAGCAAUAUUUGUGGUAUUUCUAAAUUUUUAUUUCCUCCCAGAUCGAAAGCGAGAAUUGGAAUU
rnacentral:misc_RNA from 1 species